ensembl:lncRNA novel transcript
UGGUCAGUUGGUUUGUUGUUUGGUUUAAAGACAACAGCCCCUGAGCUCUAUUAAAUGGAACAAGUUCGAGAGACAUUCCUAAAUGUCCAGACAACUCCACAGCGCGCAUUUCUCUCCAGCAGCGGGAAGAUUCAGAGACCUCGAGACUGAACACCCAAAUCUCGCUUUCCAGGACCCGAAGUACCGAACAAUAGGUCCCAAGGUAAUUGUACAUUUUUUCAUCCUACAUCUCAAGAGACCAAGGGACCUAAGUAAAUUGAUCUACUUGCCAAUGACUGUAAGAAAGACAAAGAAGUUGUAAAAACAUCCAAAUGAUGUUAAACAUAAAUUAGCUCAGAAUAGUUUGCAGAAGAUAAACUACCAGCGUCAAAGCAUGCAUUAAAAACUGGAAAGAAAUUAAAAGUGUGGUAUUGAAAGAUGUACAACUGACUUUGGAAAAAGGAUUCCUCUCUAAUUGGUGUUUGUAAGUGAUCGAAAUAAACAUUUUUAAACUAUCA